CACUAGUUUGCCUAAUUUUCUGAUUCGCCCAACCAGAUGUUUAAGUUGCUUUUGUGAUUGUAGGUUCAUCAUUAUGAAUAGAGAAAGGCUGAAUGGUUUAAAGUAUUGGACACGGAAAAUGGGAGCUUCUACAAUGAUGAUGAAGAGACAAGAUAACCGAUCAUCAUAUUUUCCUUUCUUUCUGCCUUUUCUUUUUUUCCAGUCUUCUUUGUCCUCUUUUACCUCUUAACCAAGGGGCGAUGAGCGUUACAACAGCGUAAGAAGGAGAUAGGAUGAUAUAACAACAGUCAAAGUAAAGCUACUACUAUAAACUACAGCAUCAAGAACUGCUUCCCUUCAACAUGGUUUGGCUCUUUUCUUUCCUGGUAAUUUUAACGUCUUAUCUUGACUGUCGACAGGUGAGGAGAAGCAUCAAGUCAUCAUCAUCAUCAUCAACUACAACAGCAGCAACAUCAUCAACAUAUUAAACGUUUAUUUCAACUAAAGGCUGGAGAAAGUAACAAAAACUUCAUGACGUUUGAACGUUAUCAUCAAGUCAACUUUGGAUUCUUCAUUAAGAGCGCAUUCUCAUCCUGAAGUCUUUUAUCAUCUUCAUCUUCAUCUUCAUCAUCUCUCCCUCUAAUAGUAACAACAAUAACUAAAAUUCAACCUUGAAAAUGAAUUCAAACUUUUGCCAAAUCAUGUAUUGUUUAUCAUACAACAUUGGCCAUAUUUACAGUGAGAAAUGAAAAGAAGGAACCACAAAAAGAAGAUAAUUUUUGAUUUGGAAAGAUUGAAACAAAAUCAAAACAAAACACAAUUACCAAAGCUAUUAAUAUGUACACAAUCAGUUUAUAGACAAAGAUUAACUUUGAUUGUUAACUAACUACCCAAAUGAAUUGGUAAUUAUUGUCGUCAUAACAAGUUACCUGAUAUCCUUGAAUAUGUAACUUGUUUUCAUUUUGUUUCAAUGUUAAGCCAGAGUUAAUUGUGAAAGUAAGAAAAGUAAUUUUUACUAAUUAACAUUAAUUUCUUUUUUAUUUUUAUCAAUUUAGCAAUUCAUCACAACAAGUAAAUGUGAAGGCAAACAUAAAGACUGGAAUGAACCAUUAACUGACCGAGACAAGACUACGAUCAAUAUGAAAAUGGUUUAAAGCAAAGUUUAAUCAUGUUAAUUGGAAUUCAAGUUUAAAAAUGGUCUUCUAAUGAAAAACGAUAGACGGUUAACCAACAACAAUUGGAGAACUACAAUUUGAUCGUAAAGGUUAUCAUGAAAUAACCAGAAUGAGACUGAAAACGUGAUUAGAUUGAAUUGGUUUUGAGAGUUGGGUAAAUGUAAUCAAAAAAGGUCACUGAAUUCCUUAUUGAAAUGAAUCAAUGAACAUUGAAAAACCCAUAGAGAAGAGACUUGCUCUUUCCAUCUUCCCUUUUCUGAUCAUCUUUUAACUUUCAUUUUUUUACUCCUCUGUGACCUUUCAUAAGAAGGAAUCAUAAAGAGAAAGAUAAAAAUGAAAAUGAAACAAAUGAAACAAACUGAAAAAGCUUCACCUCCAUUCAAUUGUAAGAGCAAGAGACAGACCAAAAAGGAUUUAGACCAGAAAAAUAAGAAGCUAAGAUGAUAAAUCUGAUGAUGAAUCUCCAGAUAAAUCUUCAGAUAAAGUUAAAAGAUGAAAAA